rnacentral:tRNA from 1 species
GGGAGCGUGGCUCAGAGUAGAGCACUUGCCUAGGAGCAUGUGGUCCUGGGAUCAAUCCCCAGCACUUCUU